GACGAACGCUGGCGGCGUGCUUAACACAUGCAAGUCGAACGGAAAGGCGCUGCUUUUGUGGGGUGCUCGAGUGGCGAACGGGUGAGUAACACGUGAGUAACCUGCCCUUGACUUUGUGAUAACUUCAGGAAACUGGGGCUAAUACCGGAUAGGAGCUCCUGCUGCAUGGUGGGGGUUGGAAAGUUUCGGCGGUUGGGGAUGGACUCGCGGCUUAUCAGCUUGUUGGUGGGGUAGUGGCUUACCAAGGCUUGGACGGGUAGCCGGCCUGAGAGGGUGGCCGGCAACAUUGGGACUGAGAUACGGCCCAGACCCCUACGGGAGGCAGGGGUGGAGAAGAUUGUACAGUGGACGGAAGCCUGAUGCAGCAACGCCGCGUGCGGGAUGCCGGCCAGCGGGUUGUAAACCGCUUUCGCCUGUUACGAAGCGUUAGUGACGGUAACAGGUAAAGAAGCACCGGCUAACUACGUG
rnacentral:rRNA from 1 species